AUUGAACGCUGGCGGCAGGCCUAACACAUGCAAGUCGAACGGAGUGGCGGACGGGUGAGUAAUGUCUGGGAAUCUGCCUGGUAGUGGGGGAUAACGUCCGGAAACGGGCGCUAAUACCGCAUACUAUCAGAUGAGCCUAGGUCGGAUUAGCUAGUUGGUGGGGUAACGGCCUACCAAGGCGACGCUCCGUAACUGGUCUGAGAGGAUGAUCAGUCACACUGGAACUGAGACACGGUCCAGACUCCUACGGGAGGCAGCAGUGGGGAAUAUUGGACAAUGGGCGAAAGCCUGAUGAAGCCAUGCCGCGUGUGUGAAGAAGGUCUGCGGAUUGUAAAGCACUUUAAGUUGGGAGGCGUUACCAGCAGAAGAAGCACCGGCUAACUCCGUGCCAGCAGCCGCGGUAAUUC
rnacentral:rRNA from 1 species